rnacentral:rRNA from 1 species
GACGAACGCUGGCGGCGUGCUUAACACAUGCAAGUCGAACGAAGAGCGAUGGACGCUUGCUUCUAUCAAUCUUAGUGGCGAACGGGUGAGUAACGCGUAAUCAACCUGCCCUUCAGAGGGGGACAACAGUUGGAAACGACUGCUAAUACCGCAUACGAUCUAAUCUCGGCAUCGAGGAUAGAUGAAAGGUGGCCUCUACAUGUAAGCUAUCACUGAAGGAGGGGAUUGCGUCUGAUUAGCUAGUUGGAGGGGUAACGGCCCACCAAGGCGAUGAUCAGUAGCCGGUCUGAGAGGAGGAACGGCCACAUUGGGACUGAGACACGGCCCAGACUCCUACGGGAGGCAGCAGUGGGGAAUCUUCCGCAAGGGACGAAAGUCUGACGGAGCAACGCCGCGUGAGUGAUGACGGCCUUCGGGUUGUAAAGCUCUGUUAAUCGGGACGAAAGGCCUUCUUGCGAAUAGUGAGAAGGAUUGACGGUACCGGAAGAGAAAGCCACGGCUAACUACGUG